rnacentral:lncRNA from 1 species
AUUAAAGGCCUUCAUAACUAAUGAAUAGCAAUAGGGACAAUUGGUCACCCUGUCUCAGGCCCCUGGAAGCCUAUAAAAUUUUGAAGGAUUUCCAUUAACCAAGGUCGAGAAAGAUGUAGUGGUGAUGCAAGUCUUAAUCCAUUUGCUCCAUCUAGUCCCAAAACCCAUACUAAUCCAAGAUGUGAACAUGAAACUCCAUGAUCAUAUGCAUCCUCCAUAUCUAGCUUGCAUAAAAACCCUCUCCUCCCCUUCUUCAGCAAAUUGUCAACAACAUCACUUCCACCCACGAGAACAUGCUAGCACACACCCACUAUACUACU